rnacentral:rRNA from 1 species
UACGUAGGGUGCAAGCGUUGUCCGGAAUUAUUGGGCGUAAAGAGCUCGUAGGCGGUUUGUUGCGUCGGCUGUGAAAUCCCGAGGCUCAACCUCGGGUCUGCAGUCGAUACGAGCAAACUAGAGUGUUGCAGGGGAGACUGGAAUUCCUGGUGGUAGCGGUGAAAUGCGCAGAUAUCAGGGAGGGAACACCGGUGGGCGAAGGCGGGUCUCUGGGCAACAACUGAC